rnacentral:rRNA from 1 species
CCAGCCUUUGACAUCCCGGUCGCGAGCACCAGAGAUGGAGCUCUUCAGUUCGGCUGGACCGGAGACAGGUGCUGCAUGGCUGUCGUCAGCUCGUGUCGUGAGAUGUUGGGUUAAGUCCCGCGACGAGCGCAACCCUCGCCCUUAGUUGCCAUCAUUUAGUUGGGCACUCUAAGGGGACUGCCGGUGAUAAGCCGGAGGAAGGUGGGGAUGACGUCAAGUCCUCAUGGCCCUUACAGGCUGGGCUACACACGUGCUACAAUGGCGGUGACAGAGGGACGCAAAGGAGCAAUCCUUCGCAAAUCUCAAAAAGCCGUCUCA